GUGAGUUCUGGUCUGGUUUAAUCUUCACAGGUUUAUGAGAUGGAAGCCAAGAUAAUGAUUCCUUUACUUCUGAGAAGGCUGUUUUUAGUGAGGAAUAGGAGGUCGUCGUGAAGUCUGUGUGGACCCUGCGUGAAGCGUCGCUGUGAGGAGGGUGAAGACCCUGCUUCACAUUCCAGUUCCACCUCCAUCUUUGUUUGCCCUUUUUCGCUUAUCGGGACAUUCUAGGAUUUUCGAGGGCAUCUGACUUAACUCCCCAUCCAGUAGAGGAGGUCUGCUUCAUUCUGUGGCCCGCCUGAAUCAAGGAAGACUCAAUCUGUGUCAAGAAUCUCUACCGCGGCUUCAACAUCUUGUGGUAAUCAUGGGCGCCCUUCGGGACAGGGGAAGUUUGACCUGGUGUGAAGAGGAAAGCUGCUCUUCGUGGGGUUUCGGUUCCCAGAAAAGCACCUUUUCCUGAGAGCAGGGUGGGACCGUGCAGGGAAACCUGAGCAUGCCCAAGGACGGCCGGGAAAAUACGGUUGCAAGUGUGUCUCUCGAACACGGAACGUGGAUGAAUCUCCUCUGUGGCUUUUCAGCUGUGAAGAAAUGAAGGCCCGGGAAGGCAAACAUAAUGAACCGUCUCUGUGAUGAAAGCGUGUAUUCCCACUUGAGGGACUUUAAAGGUCCAUGAAUGCACUGGUUUGAAAUAC